rnacentral:lncRNA from 1 species
CACGGCGAAAGGAGCGGGCUAGCGGCAGACAGAGCAGAAGACGGGAGUGACAGUUGCAGUCAUUGGCAGCACGUGAAUAAGGUCCACCGUCUACCCCUCACACUGUUUCUCCCUCUACCGCUCGCUCGCGUUCCCGUUCUCUCUCUCUCGCUCCCUCUACAUCCCCAUCUCUCUCUCUGUAUCGCUCUCUUUCCUCGUCCUCUCAUUCUCAGUGUAAUCAGUUUCCCUCUGCGGAGAAAGACCAAGAGAAAGCAAGCAGGACACUUUUUUUUACAGCCUGUUUGUGCCUCUGAUCUGACCACAAUGAAAUCCUGGCAGCUGACUGGAGUGGUGGGAGAUGUCCUUCAGAGUUCCAGCAGUGACAGUAGCAUCUGUUUAAAUAAGGACAGUGUCUCGAUUCCAGGCCAACCUAUGAGCUGUGAGAGGGCGCAUCUGAGGG